UAGACCGGAAUAAAUAAAAGGGACAAUUAAACAAGCCAAGCCCCCGUCCUCCUUCCGAGAAAAAACCAGCCUCCUCCCCCCAGACCCCUCUAUCCCCUCGCCGGUCCCUGGAACUCCACCGCAUCGCUCCCAUCUCUAUUUUCGUCCGGCGGAAUAAAGGGGAGAAAGCGGGACCAAACGACGAUGUUCGAGUUCUUCGUCCUCGGGUGCACCGGCGUCGUGGUGUUCCUCCACGGCGCGAAUUUCUUCUACCGUGCUCUCUCUCGGCAGAUCACCGUCCGAUCGCUUAGCUUCCUGGGAUUCGUUGGAUGGUAGGAAGGAUUGAUUCAAGGAUAUGUCGGCACUCCAAUUUGUAUAAAUUUUUAUUAUAAUUGUCAACAAAUAUUUGGGAAGAUGCUCUAUUAAUGUAGGUUUAACGAUGUGUUAAGGGAAACAUCAAUUGUUUGGUCUUAUUUUCCCUUUCCUCUUCUUACAUGAGCUUCAGUAUUAUUUUUGGACCUCCGUAGUCUUUCACCACCGAAUCGCUCGAAGAGUUAUUUAUUUAUUCGGUAACAAAGCUCAGGCAGUUGGGUGCAGUGGUUGCAUCUUUGCUUGCUUACAUCUAAAUUUUAGCAAAAGACGUAGAUGGAAAGAUUGGCUGCUUGGAGAGCAACUAAAACUUGGACUUUUUUCUCCUUUGUACAUCGUUUUGCUGCCCAUUUGCUAAUUAUAUUUUGAACUCAUUUCGUGCUGUCUCUCAACCACCUCUACUGAGCUUUACCAUCCCUUGACAUCAAUCUCGAACCCCUUAUAGAUCUUUGGGUCCUGUUUUAGGUCCAUGAAUCAUCAUAGUUGUCCCCUCCCUUAUCGUUCAAUCUAAUGCCUCUUGUUCUCUCUCUGUAGAUGAUGGCAUGCGUGCGCUCAAAGGAUGGUAGUUUUCCAGGGACAUCGGUACGAGAUCUGAUGAAUUCAACGCGCAAGACAAAUUUGGAAAUAUUUUAGGGAUUCCGAGAUCUAAUUGGUUCGUGAUGGAAUCUAGAAAAUUAGAAGAGAGGCGUGCCACACAACGUACCAUGAGAGUGUGUCACAAGGCAACGCAAGCUUCAAAUAAAGCACGCACUAAAUGAUUUUUUUUUUUUUCCUUCCACCUCAACCAAGCAUUUCGAACCUCAUAACGUUAUACUAAUUAUUUUUUUAGUUGGAAUAAAAUAAAUACAUAUGAGGUGUGGGACUGAA